rnacentral:sRNA from 1 species
CAAAAGACUUCCCUAGAGCUGUGGCCCCCACACCUUUUCUCUUCUAUGAACACGUGUGAUCUGGGCCGUGGAAGUUGUAUUUUAGACUCUGACAUGAAGUAACCGUUUCAUCUAUUUUUCUCUGUUACAGGAAAAAGGCCACAGUGAAGGCCGACUCCUUAGUUUCUUGGAACAGUCUGAGCACAAGACUUCAGAUGCAGACAUCAAGUCUUCAGAAACAGGAGCCUUCAGGUGAAUUGGAUUGUGCACUGAAUUGUGGCUGUCAGCAUUUCUGAAAAGUGCAGGCCUUGUCCUGUGUUCUGUGUGUAGUGUGAUACUCAAACUGUUGCAGUAGAAAUCACUGUGGAACUAUUAUGACCUCUCUCUCAGUAUGACUCUGUGCUCCCCGUUUAGCUAAAGAUUGGAUAGCUCAAUUCAUUCAUUGUGUUAAAACAAGCAGAGUGAAAGUUAUGUCUUAUUCUUCUGUACCUCUCUAUCCCCAUCCAACCCUGGUUUUCUGACCUGGAUUCUCAAGCAGCUUGGGAAUUUGGAUCUCAAUUCUCAUUCUCUCAAUGGCCAGCUUUAAGUAGUAUAUGAUUUACCCA